UACAGAGGUCUCAAGCGUUGUUCGGAUUCAUUGGGCGUAAAGGGUGCGUAGGCGGCGCGGUAAGUCGGGGUGUGAAAUCUCGGAGCUUAACUCCGAAACUGCAUUCGAUACUGCCGUGCUUGAGGACUGGAGAGGAGACUGGAAUUUACGGUGUAGCGGUGAAAUGCGUAGAUAUCGUAAGGAAGACCAGUGGCGAAGGCGGGUCUCUGGACAGUUCCUGACGCUGAGGCACGGAAGGUCAGGGGAGCAAACCGGG
rnacentral:rRNA from 1 species